rnacentral:rRNA from 1 species
GACGUAGGGCGCGAGCGUUGUCCGGAAUCAUUGGGCGUAAAGCGCGCGUAGGCGGUUACUUAAGUCGAAUGUGAAAGCCCUCGGCUUAACCGAGGAAGUGCAUCCGAAACUGAGUAGCUAGAGUACGAAAGAGGGUCGCGGAAUUCCCGGUGUAGAGGUGAAAUUCGUAGAUAUCGGGAGGAACACCGGUGGCGAAGGCGGCGACCUGGGUCGAGACUGACGCUGAGGCGCGAAAGCGUGGGGAGCAAACAGG